GUUUGAACCCCCUUACUACGU
rnacentral:tRNA from 1 species